rnacentral:rRNA from 1 species
UACGAAGGGGGCUAGCGUUGCUCGGAAUCACUGGGCGUAAAGGGUGCGUAGGCGGGUCUUUAAGUCAGGGGUGAAAUCCUGGAGCUCAACUCCAGAACUGCCUUUGAUACUGAAGAUCUUGAGUUCGGGAGAGGUGAGUGGAACUGCGAGUGUAGAGGUGAAAUUCGUAGAUAUUCGCAAGAACACCAGUGGCGAAGGCGGCUCACUGGCCCGAUACUGACGCUGAGGCACGAAAAGCGUGG